AACCAUUCAGUUUUUUUAUUUUUAUUUUUUUGAGACAUUGUUUCACUCUGUUGCCCAGGCUGGAGUGCAGUGAGGCAAUCUCAGCUCACUGCAACCUCCACUUCCUGGGUUCAAGCAAGUCUCCUGCCUCAGCCUCCUGAGUAGCUGGUAAUACAGGCUGGAGCCACCGUGCCCGGCUAAUUUUUGUAUUUUUAGUAGAGACCGGGUUUCACCAUGUUGGCCAGGCUGGUCUCAAACUUCUGACCUCAGGUGAUCCGCCUGUCUCGGCCUCCCAAAGUGUUGUGAUUACAUGCGUGACCCACCGAGCCCAGGCCCAGGUGAUUUUUAAAUAGCUUAAAUCAGAUCAUGUCAUUUCCCAAUUUUAAAAUGGGCAGAGAUGGUCCAGCAAUCCCACUUCUGGGUACAGACGCAAAACAAUCAAUGAAAGAGAGAUCUGCACGCAGCACUGUUCACGCUAGCGAGGAGAUGGCAACAGGGCAAGCGUCCAGCAAUGGGUAAGCGGUGGGGUCGGUGCACGCAGGCGUCCAGCGAUGGGUAAGCGGUGGGGUCGGUCCAGGCAGGCGUCCAGCAAUGGGUAAGCGGUGGGGUCGGUCCACCCAGGGAGCGCUGGUCCCCCUAGAAGGAAACCCAGGCUCUAACGCGCUCCCUCUGAGGACCCUGCUAGGCGAAACGCGCCGGCCAUAGAAAGACUGUCCCGCAGGAGAGGGCGGUGUUCGGCCCGGGGUUUGAGGGGUCGGGACCAGGAGGAGGGACAGCCCGGCCGAACCUGAACGCACUUCAGGCCGCUUGAACAGCACACGCAGGAACGGCGCCGACGGAAAACUUUAUUUCGUGUUCCGCCACCAAAAAAAUAUCGUUUAAACAAACCUGCGGCAGUUUCCCAGCUCCCUUAAACCAGGAUCCCAAGUUCUCCGCGUCUCCGCCCCUGCACCCAGCCUCCGGCCUCGGCAGGCGCUUCCGGUGCGGAACCUUCUGGAAAGUACCGCGCCGCCCUCCCGGCGUCCCCACAACCCCGCCCGCACCUGCGCGCACCGGCGC
rnacentral:lncRNA from 1 species